rnacentral:rRNA from 1 species
GACAGAGGGUGCAAGCGUUGUUCGGAAUUAUUGGGCGUAAAGGGCGCGUAGGCGGCUUGGCAAGUCGGAUGUGAAAGCCCAGGGCUCAACCCUGGAAGUGCAUCCGAAACUAUCAAACUAGAGUCCCGGAGAGGGUGGUGGAAUUCCCAGUGUAGAGGUGAAAUUCGUAGAUAUUGGGAGGAACACCGGUGGCGAAGGCGACCGCCUGGACGGAGACUGACGCUGAGGCGCGAGAGCGUGGGGAGCAAACAGGAUUAGAUACCCUGGUAGUCCACGCUGUAAACGAUGGAUACUAGGUGUUGCGGGUAUUGACCCCUGCAGUGCCGACGCUAACGCAUUAAGUAUCCCGCCUGGGAAGUACGGCCGCAAGGCUAAA